UCCACUCCCCCUGCACAAUGCCCAGGACAAAAUAAUUGUUCAAUGAAUGUUGCAUUUCUUUUGGAGAUACAAUGUCAAAGUCCAAAUGACUUAGAAAUGAUAUUUUAAAAAUAAACUAGAUCAAAGUUUUUGCCACUCCUAUGAGUUGAACUGUGCCCCAUGUUUUCUUGUCAAUGCCCUAUUUUUCUGUUUUCUCUCCAACUAUUGUCUGAUUAAUUUUCUAUUAACAUUUGUCUAUCUGAGCAGCUUCUAAUAACCACCAUACCACAAAAAAAACUUGAUUCCAAGAUGGCCAUUUUGUCAGAGGGAGCCAUUGAGUGCACUGAAGUCUGAUAAAUAAUGAAUGAACACAGAGCAUUUAGAAGCUUGUGAUAUAAAAAGAAAAUAUAGGCCAUAAGAUAGAUGGAAUCACCUUGGCUCACAAACCUUGGAUAUCACUCUACAAAGUAAUUUUGCGAAUAUUAAAAUCAUUUUCCUCAGUCACUGAACCUGGUGACAGGAUAGGUCUGGUGUGGCAUCCUGUAGCCAAUAUGGAAAAAUCCUUCCAGCCAGCCACAAGUCUUGCCUGAAAACUCCCAAUGGUGGAGUGACAGUCUCCAGAGAAGAUACAUUUUGAUCCUUGAAUUUCCAGAUUCUUUACUUUUUCCCUUUUUCUUACUCAGAACACUUUACCCUUCCAUCUUCGUCUUGACCACAUAAAUACCUGAGUUUAGUUCAGCCAGUGUUCACUGAGCACUUGUUAUGCACCAGACCCUCUGAUAGGCAAUGCUGGAGACAGAGAUGAAUAGGACACAGCUUCUGCCCUCAAGGAGGCCACAGGUUUAUAAACAUCCCUAGAGGCUUCAGAAGGAGCUGGCACUGCCAACAACUUGAUUUCAGACUUCCAGCCACCAGAACUCUGAAAGAAUAAACUUCCAUUAUUUUCAGCAGGCAGCCCUAGGAAACAAGUAUAUUUGAUGACCAGAUAUUUUUCCUUCAUUCCUGGUUGCCCAUCGUCAGUCUCCUUUCCUGGUUCCUACUAAUUUCCCUUACUAUUAAAUAUUGGAGUAUUCCAGGUAGAAGACUUUGAACCGUUUUUAACUCUACUGUAGCAUACUUGCUACAUACUUAUUAGAUCCAGGACCUUGGCUUCAACAGCAUUUAUGCGGUGAUGCAUUCUCAUUGUAAAUUUAAGGCAUACUUAGUAUG
rnacentral:lncRNA from 10 species